rnacentral:misc_RNA from 1 species
UUGUGUUCACUGUGCAGUUGAAAGACUCAACAGAUUCAUCUGUCAUACAUAUUCUGUAGAGCUUUAAAGUGUUGCAGGGUAGUUUGUUGCAAUUUAAAGACUGAACAAAAUCAUCCCUCUUACAUAUGUGUACUGUUCAGUUAUAAGCUGUUACACAAAGACUUCAGUGGAGGGGGGGAUUGGUAAAAGUAACUAAUUAAUAGUUGAUCCUUAACUUGAAGAUUCAAAAUGUAUGCUCAUGCAUGGCUAGCAUGCUAUUUAUACAUGUAUCAGAGCACCGGUGUAAAAGGAGUUGAUUUUAUUGAUCAUUAUUUAUUUUAAAAUCAAGGAUAUGUUAUUUUGCAUGGCAAUUAGUUUCCUAUAUGUAUUUGAUUUACGCAAUUUUUUUAUAAUAUGAAUUCUCCCACAAGAAUUUCGUGAAAACCAAAUAUGAAUCAUAUUGUGUAAUAUUCAAAGAACUAAUUCCAUGAAACUAUAUAUCAAUAUUCGAAACCAGUAUCAGUAAUCGAAAUAGUUCUGAGAAAGUGUAUGGAUCCAAGCAAUAUUGAACUCUAGUCUUGUUCAACCAGACUCUCGGCUGUCUCCUUUAAUCUCUGACAAGCAAGAGAGACAAGAGAGGCAAGAUUUACGGAGACAGGGGAGUGUCUGGUUGAAUGAGACUAUAUUGAACUCUGGCAUAGGAAUACGUAAAAUGUACGACUACAAAAAAUAUCUGAAUUGUUUUUACCAAAUAAAAUCUAACUAUUUACAAGGUAUCUAUGAAUAAGUUUCCUUGAAAAAUAAUGCUUUAGAACACAUUUACAUAGAAUUUAUCGAUUAGAACUGAAUGUUGUCAGCGGUGUUGAUUUGUGCUUAGGUCCUAACACUGUUUCACUCCCGGAUUGCCUGAGUAACUGCAUAGGAGAGUUGAUUAAAAUCAACUCCCAAAAAGCUACAUAUAUAUCGUCAUUAGGUAAGCUUAGAUCAAGGAUUUAUUAAAGAAUUAAGUUGAAUCUUGACUCAAAUAAAAUUUUCUUUAAAAAUG